rnacentral:lncRNA from 1 species
UUUUUUUUUAAGAAAGAUAUAUAAAUUGUGCACUUUUACUCUUGUGGUGAUUUCUCCGUGUAACGAGCAAUCAGUCGACAACUCUCACACCAGUUGGCAUAAGGUGUCGGGCAUCAAGACUCCCCUACGGACUUAUGCUCGGAGUCCUCAUCACAAGCCCACUUGACCUUUGACAAUAGGUAGCCCUUUUCGAUGUUCCUGACUAAAUCCAUUUUUAUUGAUUUUUUUUUUAUUGGAUUAGAUAAGUAUGAUUCAUCAGGGUCCAAGGUUGCUACUAUACUAUCAACAUAAUGUCGAGCCUAGACCUUAGAAGGGUCGG